rnacentral:rRNA from 1 species
CUACGGGAUGCACCAGUGGGGAAUAUUGCACAAUGGGCGCAAGCCUGAUGCAGCCAUGCCGCGUGUAUGAAGAAGGCCUUCGGGUUGUAAAGUACUUUCAGCGGGGAGGAAGGGAGUAAAGUUAAUACCUUUGCUCAUUGACGUUACCCGCAGAAGAAGCACCGGCUAACUCCGUGCCAGCAGCCGCGGUAAUACGGAGGGUGCAAGCGUUAAUCGGAAUUACUGGGCGUAAAGCGCACGCAGGCGGUUUGUUAAGUCAGAUGUGAAAUCCCCGGGCUCAACCUGGGAACUGCAUCUGAUACUGGCAAGCUAGAGUCUCGUAGAGGGGGGUAGAAUUCCAGGUGUAGCGGUGAAAUGCGUAGAGAUCUGGAGGAAUACCGGUGGCGAAGGCGGCCCCCUGGACGAAGACUGACGCUCAGGUGCGAAAGCGUGGGGAGCAAACAGGAUUAGAUACCCCUGUAGUC